rnacentral:rRNA from 1 species
AAGUAACGCUAGCUAUAUGCUUAACACAUGCAAGUCGAACGGAAAGGCCCUUCGGGGUACUCGAGUGGCGAACGGGUGAGUAACACGUGGGUGAUCUGCCCUGCACUUUGGGAUAAGCCUGGGAAACUGGGUCUAAUACCGAAUAUGACCAUGCACCUCCUGGUGUGUGGUGGAAAGCUUUUGCGGUGUGGGAUGGGCCCGCGGCCUAUCAGCUUGUUGGUGGGGUAAUGGCCUACCAAGGCGACGACGGGUAGCCGGCCUGAGAGGGUGACCGGCCACACUGGGACUGAGAUACGGCCCAGACUCCUACGGGAGGCAGCAGUGGGGAAUAUUGCACAAUGGGCGCAAGCCUGAUGCAGCGACGCCGCGUGAGGGAUGACGGCCUUCGGGUUGUAAACCUCUUUCAGCACAGACGAAGCGCAAGUGACGGUAUGUGCAGAAGAAGGACCGGCCAACUACGUGCCAGCAGCCGCA